rnacentral:rRNA from 14 species
CCGGCUAACUCCGUGCCAGCAGCUGCGGUAAUACGGAGGGUGCAAGCAUUAAUCGGAUUUAUUGGGCGUAAAGGGCGCGUAGGCGGCAAUGUAAGUCAGGUGUGAAAUUUCGAGGCUCAACCUCGAAGCUGCACUUGAAACUACAUUGCUUGAGGAUGAGCGGGGAAAACGGAAUUCCACAAGUAGCGGUGAAAUGCGUAGAUAUGUGGAAGAACACCGGUGGCGAAGGCGGUUUUCUAGCUUAUUCCUGACGCUGAGGCGCGAAAGCAAGGGGAGCAAACAGGAUUAGAUACCCUGGUAGUCCACGCCGUAAACGAUGAGUGCUAGACGUCGGGG